UACGGAGGAUCCAAGCGUUAUCCGGAUUUAUUGGGUUUAAAGGGUGCGUAGGCGGAAGAAUAAGUCAGAGGUGAAAUCCUGCAGCUUAACUGCAGAACUGCCUUUGAAACUGUUUUUCUUGAAUAUGGUGGCGGCAGGCGGAAUGAAUAAUGUAGCGGUGAAAUGCAUAGAUAUUAUUCAGAACACCAAUUGCGAAGGCAGCUUGCCAUACCAUUAUUGACGCUAAGGCACGAAAGCGUGGGUAGCGAACAGG
rnacentral:rRNA from 1 species